GACGAACGCUGGCGGCGUGCUUAACACAUGCAAGUCGAACGGAAAGGCCCUGUUUUUGUGGUGUUCUCGUGUGGCACACGGGUGUGUAACGCGUGUGUACCCUGCCCUUCACUUUGGGAUAACUUCGGGAAACUGGGUCUAAUCCCGUAUAGGAGCCCCCUCUGCAUGGUGGGGUUUGGAAAGUCUCGGCGGUUGGGGAUGGUCUCGCGGCUUUUCCGCUUGUUGGUGGGGUAGUGGCUUACCAAGGCUUUGACGGGUAGCCGGCCUGGGGGGGUGACCGGCAACAUUGGGACUGGGGUACGGCCCAGACUCCUACGGGAGGCAGAAGGGGGGAAUAUUGAACAAGGGGCGGAAGCCUGAGGCAGCAACGCCGCGUGGGGGAGGACGGCCUUCGGGUUGAAAACCGCUUUGGCCUGUGACGAGGUGUGAGUGACGGUAAUGGGUAAAGAAGCACCGGCUAACUACGUG
rnacentral:rRNA from 1 species